rnacentral:rRNA from 1 species
CGUGUAGGCGGUCAGGUAAGUGGAAUGUGAAAUGCCCCGGCUCACCCGGGGACCUGCAUCCCAAACUGCCUGGCUUGAGUAUGGGAGAGGAUGGAGGAAUUCCUGGUGUAGCGGUGAAAUGCGUAGAUAUCAGGAGGAACACCGGUGGCGAAAGCGUCCAUCCGGCCCAAUACUGACGCUGAUGCGCGAAAGCUAGGGGAGCGAACGGGAUUAGAUACCCCGGUAGUCCUAGCCGUAAACGGUGAUCACUAGGUGUUGGGGGCAUCGACCCCUCCAGUGCCGCAGCUAACGCAUUAAGUGAUCCGCCUGGGGAGUACGGCCGCAAGGUUGAA